rnacentral:rRNA from 1 species
CAGCAGCCGCGGUAAUACGUAGGUGGCAAGCGUUGUCCGGAAUUAUUGGGCGUAAAGGGCUCGCAGGCGGUUUCUUAAGUCUGAUGUGAAAGCCCCCGGCUCAACCGGGGAGGGUCAUUGGAAACUGGGAAACUUGAGUGCAGAAGAGGAGAGUGGAAUUCCACGUGUAGCGGUGAAAUGCGUAGAGAUGUGGGGGAACACCAGUGGCGAAGGCGACUCUCUGGUCUGUAACUGACGCUGAGGAGCGAAAGCGUGGGGAGCGAACAGGAUUAGAUACCCCCGUAGUCCCUGUCUCUUAUAA